AAGUCUGACGGACAACGCCGCGUGAGUGAUGAAGGUUUUCGGAUCGUAAAGCUCUGUUGUUAGGGAAGAACAAGUACCGUUCGAAUAGGGCGGUACCUUGACGGUACCUAACCAGAAAGCCACGGCUAACUACGUGCCAGCAGCCGCGGUAAUACGUAGGUGGCAAGCGUUGUCCGGAAUUAUUGGGCGUAAAGGGCUCGCAGGCGGUUUCUUAAGUCUGAUGUGAAAGCCCCCGGCUCAACCGGGGAGGGUCAUUGGAAACUGGGGAACUUGAGUGCAGAAGAGGAGAGUGGAAUUCCACGUGUAGCGGUGAAAUGCGUAGAGAUGUGGAGGAACACCAGUGGCGAAGGCGACUCUCUGGUCUGUAACUGACGCUUAGGAGCGAAAGCGUGGGGAGCGAACAGGAUAG
rnacentral:rRNA from 1 species